GCCUGGGUGGCUCAGUCGGUUGAGCGUCCGACUUCAGCUCAGGUCACGAUCUCGCAGUCCGCGAGUUCGAGCCCCGCGUUGGGCU
rnacentral:tRNA from 1 species